GGCGUACAACAACGGGGACGUGUCCCCAACGUGGAGCCUGUGGGGAUGAGCCUCAGUAACAGCGUGAGUAAUCACGGAAAACUGGAAAAGAAAGCGUGGGGUGGAGUUUGGUAGGGACUUAUGUCAGCCGAAGAAGUCAGACC
rnacentral:sRNA from 1 species